rnacentral:rRNA from 1 species
GGACUACAGGGGUAUCUAAUCCUGUUUGAUCCCCGCACUUUCGGGUCUGAGUGUCAGUGUUGGGCCAGAUCGCCGCCUUCGCCACCGGUGUUCCUCCAGAUAUCUACGUAUUUCACCACUACACCUGGAAUUCCACGAUCCUCUCCCACACUCAAGCUUCGCAGUAUCAAAAGCACUUCCUGGGUUAAGCCCAGGGCUUUCACUCCUGACUUACAAAGCCACCUACACCCGCUUUACGCCCAAUGAUUCCGAGCAACGCUUGGACCCCUCGUCUUACCGCGGCUGCUGGCAC